GGACGAACGCUGGCGGCGUGCCUAACACGAUGCGAAGUCGAGCGGGGACAUACGACGGAGCAGAAGUUUCGGAUGGAAGCGAAGAUGUAUGUUCUAGCGGCGGACGGGUGAGUAACGCGUGAGCAACCUGUCCUUCACAGGGGGAUAACACAGCGAAAGUUGUACUAAUACCGCAUAAGACCACACUGGGACAUCCCAGAGGGGUCAAAGGAGCAAUCCGGUGAAGGGUGGGCUCGCGUCCGAUUAGAUAGUUGGUGAGGUAACGGCCCACCAAGUCGACGAUCGGUAGCCGACCUGAGAGGGUGAUCGGCCACAUUGGGACUGAGACACGGCCCAAACUCCUACGGGAGGCAGCAGUGGGGAAUAUUGGGCAAUGGGGGGAAACCCUGACCCAGCAACGCCGCGUGAGGGAAGAAGGUUUUCGGAUCGUAAACCUCUGUCCUUGGUGAAGAGGAAGAGACGGUAGCCAAGGAGGAAGCCCCGGCUAACUACGUGCCAGCCGCCGC
rnacentral:rRNA from 1 species